AUUGAACGCUGGCGGCAGGCCUAACACAUGCAAGUCGAACGAGUGGCGGACGGGUGAGUAAUGUCUGGGAAACUGCCCGAUGGAGGGGGAUAACUACUGGAAACGGUAGCUAAUACCGCAUACCAUCGGAUGUGCCCAGAUGGGAUUAGCUAGUAGGUGGGGUAACGGCUCACCUAGGCGACGAUCCCUAGCUGGUCUGAGAGGAUGACCAGGCACACUGGAACUGAGCAACGGUCCAGACUCCUACGGGGGGCAGCAGUGGGGAAUAUUGCACAAUGGGCGCAAGCCUGAUGUAGCCAUGCCGCGUGUAUGAAGAAGGCCUUCGGGUUGUAAAGUACGUUCAGCGGGGAGGCGUUACUCGCAGAAGAAGCACCGGCUAACUCCGUGCCAGCCGCCGCGGUAAUUC
rnacentral:rRNA from 1 species